rnacentral:rRNA from 1 species
GACGAACGCUGGCGGCGUGCCUAAUACAUGCAAGUCGAACGCUGAAGGAGGAGCUUGCUUCUCUGGAUGAGUUGCGAACGGGUGAGUAACGCGUAGGUAACCUGCCUGGUAGCGGGGGAUAACUAUUGGAAACGAUAGCUAAUACCGCAUAACAGUAGAUAUCGCAUGAUAUCUACUUGAAAGGUGCAAUUGUAUCACUACCAGAUGGACCUGCGUUGUAUUAGCUAGUUGGUGAGGUAACGGCUCACCAAGGCGACGAUACAUAGCCGACCUGAGAGGGGGAUCGGCCACACUGGGACUGAGACACGGCCCAGACUCCUACGGGAGGCAGCAGUAGGGAAUCUUCGGCAAUGGACGGAAGUCUGACCGAGCAACGCCGCGUGAGUGAAGAAGGUUUUCGGAUCGUAAAGCUCUGUUGUAAGAGAAGAACGAGUGUGAGAGUGGAAAGUUCACACUGUGACGGUAUCUUACCAGAAAGGGACGGCUAACUACGU